rnacentral:rRNA from 1 species
UAUGAGCACCGUUUGUUUCCUCGGCGGGCAUGCCCGCCGCUAGGACCCCCAAUAAACCUUUGCAGUAGCAGUAUCGUCAGUUUAAAACAAAAUAUUAAAACUUUCAACAACGGAUCUCUUGGUUCUGGCAUCGAUGAAGAACGCAGCGAAAUGCGAUAAGUAGUGUGAAUUGCAGAAUUCAGUGAAUCAUCGAAUCUUUGAACGCACAUUGCGCCCUUCGGUAUUCCGUUGGGCAUGCCUGUUCGAGCGUCAUUUGACCCUUCAAGCUCUGCUUGGUGUUGGGCGUUUGUUCCGCCUCCGCGCGUGGACUCGCCUCAAAUUCAUUGGCAGCCGGCAAGUUGGCUUCGUGCGCAGCACAUUGCGUCGCGACUCCAGCCUGCCUCCGUCCAUAAAGGCUCCUCAUCACUUUGACCUCGGAUCAGGUAGGGAUACCCGCUGAACUUAAGCAUAUCAAUAAGCGGAGGAAAAGAAACCAACAGGGAUUGCCCCAGUAACGGCGAGUGAAGCGGCAAUAGCUCAAAUUUGAAAUCUGGCUCUUUCAGGGUCCGAGUUGUAAUUUGCAGAGGGCGCUUUGGCGUCGGCAGCGGCCUAAGUUCCUUGGAACAGGUCAUCAUAGAGGGUGAGAAUCCCGUAUGUGGCUGACUGUCUUCACCGUGUAAAGCCCCUUCGACGAGUCGAGUUGUUUGGGAAUGCAGCUCUAAAUGGGAGGUAAAUUUCUUCUAAAGCUAAAUAUUGGCCAGAGACCGAUAGCGCACAAGUAGAGUGAUCGAAAGAUGAAAAGCACUUUGGAAAGAGAGUCAAAAAGCACGUGAAAUUGUUGAAAGGGAAGCGCUUGCAGCCAGACGUGCCCGCAGUUGCUCAUCCGGGGUUCUCCCCGGUGCACUCUUCUGUGGGCAGGCCAGCAUCAGUCCGGGCGGUUGGAGAAAGACCUGUGUCAUGUGGCUGCU